UACGUAGGGGGCUAGCGUUGUCCGGAAUCAUUGGGCGUAAAGAGCGUGUAGGCGGCUUGUUAAGUCUUGCGUGAAAUCUCGGGGCUCAACCCCGAGCGGUCGUGAGAAACUGGCAGGCUAGAGUGCGGGAGAGGAGAGUGGAAUUCCUGGUGUAGCUGUGAAAUGCGCAGAUAUCAGGAGGAACACCGGUGGCGAAGGCGGUUCUCUGGGCAUUACCUGACGCUGAGGAGCGAAAGUGUGGGGAGCGAACAGG
rnacentral:rRNA from 1 species